rnacentral:rRNA from 1 species
UACGGGGGGGGGCAAGCGUUUGUCCGGAAUUAUUGGGCGUAAAGCGCGCGCAGGCGGUUCUUUAAGUCUGAUGUGAAAGCCCACGGCUCAACCGUGGAGGGUCAUUGGAAACUGGGGGAACUUGAGUACAGAAGAGGAAAGCGGAAUUCCACGUGUAGCGGUGAAAUGCGUAGAGAUGUGGAGGAACACCAGUGGCGAAGGCGGCUCACUGGCCCGAUACUGACGCUGAGGCACGAAAGCGUGGGGAGCAAACAGG